AAUAGAUACCCAGGUAGUCCACGCCCUAAACGAUGUCAACUAGCUGUUGGGGUCUUCGGACCUUGGUAGCGCAGCUAACGCGUGAAGUUGACCGCCUGGGGAGUACGGUCGCAAGAUUAAAACUCAAAGGAAUUGACGGGGACCCGCACAAGCGGUGGAUGAUGUGGAUUAAUUCGAUGCAACGCGAAAAACCUUACCUACCCUUGACAUGUCUGGAAUCCCGAAGAGAUUUGGGAGUGCUCGCAAGAGAACCGGAACACAGGUGCUGCAUGGCUGUCGUCAGCUCGUGUCGUGAGAUGUUGGGUUAAGUCCCGCAACGAGCGCAACCCUUGUCAUUAGUUGCUACGAAAGGGCACUCUAAUGAGACUGCCGGUGACAAACCGGAGGAAGGUGGGGAUGACGUCAAGUCCUCAUGGCCCUUAUGGGUAGGGCUUCACACGUCAUACAAUGGUCGGGACAGAGGGUCGCCAACCCGGCGAGGGGGAGCCAAUCCCAGAAACCCGAUCGUAGUCCGGAUCGCAGUCUGCAA
rnacentral:rRNA from 1 species